rnacentral:rRNA from 1 species
UACGGGGGAUGCAAGCGUUAUCCGGAAUCAUUGGGCGUAAAGCGCCUGUAGGUUGUCUACUAAGUCUGUUGUUAAAGACUAGGGCUUAACCCUAGAAAAGCAAUGGAAACUUGUAGACUAGAGUAUGGUAGGGGUAGAGGGAAUUUCUAGUGUAGCGGUGAAAUGCGUAGAUAUUAGAAAGAACACCAGUGGCGAAAGCGCUCUACUGGACCAUUACUGACACUCAGAGGCGAAAGCUAGGGUAGCAAAAGGGAUUAGAUACCCCUGUAGUCCUAGCCGUAAACGAUGGAUACUAAACAUUGCGUGCUCGCCGUGGUGUUAUAGCUAACGCGUUAAGUAUCCCGCCUGGGGAGUAUGCUCGCAAGGGUG